rnacentral:lncRNA from 1 species
GUUUGGCCUCUUCGAAAACUAUGGCUUUAAUUGUCUUUCCUUCAACGGUUGAAGUAAGUACCAAGUUACUAACAAAGCAAUGCUGUAGUGACCACAAAGCAGUUCCUUAAAACUGUGGAUUUUAAUUUAUUCAUACAACUAGUUAUUCUAAGGCGAAAAAAGUGGAGUCAUGUAUAACCAGCGAAUUCAUCGUUAUAACUGCGUUGCUUCAUAUACAAGUUUAAGUUUUAUGACAUCUCUUAUAUUGCAUUAUCCGCUAAUCGUACGCGAGUUUCAUAUAAAUAGUUGCAUGAACGAUCUUUAAUUUGAUUUCUGAAAAUAAACUCAUCAUAGAAACCAGGAUUUAAAUUUUGUAUUUGCGUUAAAAAGUAAAAAAGGACAAAUAAAGUACGAAGUUGAAGAGCAUCGCAGACCAUUAAUUCCUAAAUGUUUUGCGGAAUACAGAUAAUGUAAUCUAUUCCUGAGGUAGACAAGCAUUAGCCUUUCAAAAAGGGCUGGACGACUGUUAGCUGAUGAAAAUGGAAAG